AAUCCAUAGGUUAAUGAGGCGAACCGGGGGAACUGAAACAUCUAAGUACCCCGAGGAAAAGAAAUCAACCGAGAUUCCCCCAGUAGCGGCGAGCGAACGGGGAGGAGCCCAGAGCCUGAAUCAGCAUGUGUGUUAGUGGAAGCGUCUGGAAAGGCGCGCGAUACAGGGUGACAGCCCCGUACACAAAAGCGCAUGUGCUGUGAGCUCGAUGAGUAGGGCGGGACACGUGGUAUCCUGUCUGAAUAUGGGGGGACCAUCCUCCAAGGCUAAAUACUCCUGACUGACCGAUAGUGAACCAGUACCGUGAGGGAAAGGCGAAAAGAACCCCGGCGAGGGGAGUGAAAAAGAACCUGAAACCGUGUACGUACAAGCAGUGGGAGCCCCACCACCAAAGCAUUUGCUGUACCGCGUUGACGGAGC
rnacentral:rRNA from 2 species